CAUGCAAGUCGUACGAGAGUUUUUAACUCUAGUGGCGGACGGGUGAGUAACACGUGAGAAUUUACCUUUAGGAGGGGGAUAACAAUCGGAAACGAAUGCUAAUACCCCAUAUGCUUUCGAGUGAAAUGGAUUUAUAUUUAUCCGCCUAGAGAGAAGCUCGCGGCUGAUUAGCUUGUUGGUAAGGUAAGAGCUUACCAAGGCGACGAUCAGUAUCUGGUUUGAGAGGACGAUCAGACACACUGGAACUGAGACACGGUCCAGACUCCUACGGGAGGCAGCAGUGGGGAAUUUUCCGCAAUGGGCGAAAGCCUGACGGAGCAAUACCGCGUGAGGGAAGACUGCCUAUGGGUUGUAAACCUCUUUUUUCAGGGAGGAAUAAAAUGACGUGUACCUGAAGAAUAAGCAUCGGCUAACUCCGUGCCAGCAGCCGCGGUAAGACGGAGGAUGCAAGUGUUAUCCGGAAUCACUGGGCGUAAAGCGUCUGUAGGUGGUUUGAUAAGUCAACUGUUAAAUCUUGAGGCUCAACUUCAAAAUCGCAGUCGAAACUAUUAGACUAGAGUAUAGUAGAGGUAAAGGGAAUUUCCAGUGGAGCGGUGAAAUGCGUAGAUAUUGGAAAGAACACCGAUGGCGAAAGCACUUUACUGGGCUAUUACUAACACUCAGAAACGAAAGCUAGGGUAGCAAAUGGGAUUAGAUACCCCAGUAGUCCUAGCCGUAAACUAUGGAUACUAGAUGUUGAACAGAUCGACCUGUGCAGUAUCAAAGCUAACGCGUUAAGUAUCCCGCCUGGGAAGUAUGCACGCAAGUGUGAAACUCAAAGGAAUUGACGGGGGCCCGCACAAGCGG
rnacentral:rRNA from 1 species